AGAGUUUGAUCCUGGCUCAGGACGAACGCUGGCGGCGUGCCUAAUACAUGCAAGUAGAACGCUGAAGAGAGGAGCUUGCUCUUCUUGGAUGAGUUGCGAACGGGUGAGUAACGCGUAGGUAACCUGCCUUGUAGCGGGGGAUAACUAUUGGAAACGAUAGCUAAUACCGCAUAACAAUGGGUGACACAUGUCAUUUAUUUGAAAGGGGCAAUUGCUCCACUACAAGAUGGACCUGCGUUGUAUUAGCUAGUAGGUGAGGUAACGGCUCACCUAGGCGACGAUACAUAGCCGACCUGAGAGGGUGAUCGGCCACACUGGGACUGAGACACGGCCCAGACUCCUACGGGAGGCAGCAGUAGGGAAUCUUCGGCAAUGGGGGCAACCCUGACCGAGCAACGCCGCGUGAGUGAAGAAGGUUUUCGGAUCGUAAAGCUCUGUUGUAAGAGAAGAACGAGUGUGAGAGUGGAAAGUUCACACUGUGACGGUAACUUACCAGAAAGGGACGGCUAACUACGUGCCAGCAGCCGCGGUAAUACGUAGGUCCCGAGCGUUGUCCGGAUUUAUUGGGCGUAAAGCGAGCGCAGGCGGUUUGAUAAGUCUGAAGUUAAAGGCUGUGGCUCAACCAUAGUUCGCUUUGGAAACUGUCAAACUUGAGUGCAGAAGGGGAGAGUGGAAUUCCAUGUGUAGCGGUGAAAUGCGUAGAUAUAUGGAGGAACACCGGUGGCGAAAGCGGCUCUCUGGUCUGUAACUGACGCUGAGGCUCGAAAGCGUGGGGAGCGAACAGGAUUAGAUACCCUGGUAGUCCACGCCGUAAACGAUGAGUGCUAGGUGUUGGAUCCUUUCCGGGAUUCAGUGCCGCAGCUAACGCAUUAAGCACUCCGCCUGGGGAGUACGACCGCAAGGUUGAAACUCAAAGGAAUUGACGGGGGCCCGCACAAGCAGUGGAGUAUGUGGUUUAAUUCGACGCAACGCGAAGAACCUUACCAAGUCUUGACAUCCCUUGACGAACAUAGAAAUAUGUUUUCUCUUCGGAGCAAGGAGACAGGUGGUGCAUGGUUGUCGUCAGCUCGUGUCGUGAGAUGUUGGGUUAAG
rnacentral:rRNA from 1 species